AGCAGCCGCGGUAAUUCCAGCUCCAAUAGCGUAUAUUAAAGUUGUUGCAGUUAAAAAGCUCGUAGUUGAAUUUCGGGGUUAGUAGGUUGGUCAUGCCUCUGGUAUGUACUGGUCUCACUGAUUCCUCCUUCCUGAUGAGCCGUAAUGCCAUUAAUUUGGUGUUGCGGGGAAUCAGGACUGUUACUUUGAAAAAAUUAGAGUGUUUAAAGCAGGCUAACGCUUGAAUACAUUAGCAUGGAAUAAUGAAAUAGGACGUUUGAUCCUAUUUUGUUGGUUUCUAGGAUCGACGUAAUGAUUAAUAGGGAUAGUUGGGGGCAUUAGUAUUCAAUUGUCAGAGGUGAAAAUUCUUGGAUUUAUUGAAGACUAACUACUGCGAAAGCAUUUGCCAAGGAUGUUUUCAUUAAUCAAGAACGAAAGUUAGGGGAUCGAAGACGAUCAGAUACCGUCGUAGUCUUAACCAUAAACUAUGCCGACUAGGGAUCGGAUGAUGUUAAUUUUUAAUGUACUCAUUCGGCGCCU
rnacentral:rRNA from 1 species